rnacentral:lncRNA from 1 species
CCUAAGCUCACUUCUUCUUAGGGGACCUUCUUCUCUCAGCUUGCUACCAAUUAGUCUCUCCAUCCUCCAUCCAAGCAUAUUUUAGCAUUCAAGCGAGGAGUUUGGAGUAGAUCUUUGAAAACUUCUUAUCUAAGAAAAAGGUCAGCCUGGACCUUCACAGUCCUCGCUUCAUAGUUGACAUGGCCAUGGCUUCGUUCAACUUAUGAAUCUCCCAGGUGGCAACAUUGAAGUGUGCCAUGUACUCCUUCAAGGACUCCCUUUUCCACCAUUG